rnacentral:rRNA from 1 species
AGUGAACGCUGGCGGUAGGCCUAACACAUGCAAGUCGAACGGCAGCACAGCAAGAGCUUGCUCUUACGGGUGGCGAGUGGCGGACGGGUGAGGAAUACAUCGGAAUCUACUUUUUCGUGGGGGAUAACGUAGGGAAACUUACGCUAAUACCGCAUACGACCUACGGGUGAAAGCAGGGGAUCUUCGGACCUUGCGCGAUUGAAUGAGCCGAUGUCGGAUUAGCUAGUUGGCGGGGUAAAGGCCCACCAAGGCGACGAUCCGUAGCUGGUCUGAGAGGAUGAUCAGCCACACUGGAACUGAGACACGGUCCAGACUCCUACGGGAGGCAGCAGUGGGGAAUAUUGGACAAUGGGCGCAAGCCUGAUCCAGCCAUACCGCGUGGGUGAAGAAGGCCUUCGGGCUGUAAAGCCCUUUUGUUGGGAAAGAAAAGCAGCAGGUUAAUACCCCGCUGUUCUGACGGUACCCAAAGAAUAAGCACCGGCUAACUUCGUG